rnacentral:lncRNA from 1 species
CGGGUGCGCGCCGAGGGGUGGGUCGCGCCGCGCCGCCCUGCGGGCCUGGCGCGCGGUCCGAGCCACUCAGCGCGCCCGGCAGCCGACACCCGGGGGCCCUGCGAGUAAUACCCCGCGCCCGCCCGCCGGAGCUGGGACUCGCACGCCCGCACUCGGGAACGGAGGCGCCCGGUCCGCCCUGACCAGCCAGGCCACUUGCUCUGCUCCGGCUGCUGCGGCGAGUCUGCCGGGCUCCCGCCGAGGGCCAGCUAGUGUGGGGACGGUGCCGCCGUCACCGAAGUCCCGCGCCAGUGUGCGCCUCCCGGCCCGGCGCCCCUGCGGAGCAGCCGCCACCUUCGUCGCCGCGGGGAAUUCUGUGUUGGGGGCCGGCCCGGCAGGUGGGCGACCGCGGCCGGCUAGCUGAGCGGGUGAGUGGGGUCGGGAAGUUGGGGUGCGAGUGUGCACACGCCCCGCGGUAGGAGGCGGGCCCACGCGGGUAGGUUUCCUCUGGCCCUCCUCUUACCCCCGCUGCAAACUUUAACUCAGGACCGGGGAGAAGCUGGAUAGGCUGACUUGCUGCUACAGUGUUUACUCUGGCGAAAGCGCCAGUCAUUCGGACAGCCACUCCUCCUGGCCGGGUGAGUGACACGGCGGCCCCGGCCUCCAACCCCUAGGCGGACCCUGGGCUCGAUCUGCCCCCAAUAGCCUUGGUAGCCCGGGGGCUGCGGAUGCGCCUGGAGCUCUCCUUAAGCAGCUUCCUAGGCCUAGGACCCGGGGGGGAGUGAGGGGGUGGUGACCGGCCACCCCCUCUUUAAUUCGGGCUGAAGACACAAACUUUGUUUUCACUCAGUGUAAGUACCUUCCCAGUGUUUUCAAACUAGACGCGCAGACACGAUUCAUGGUGGUUUCCUCGGAACAUCCCCGGGCGCAGGGCUGGUCUGGCUAGCCCGCAAGUGGGGGACUCCGGAGCGCGCCCAGAGGCCCCGGGGCGUGAGGACAGCUCUGGUCUUCGCCUGGGUUCUGGCCUCAGCCCGGGCACCGCGGCCAGGAAGGCCCUGGAGCGCUGCGCUGUCCGCUGCUCGCGGAGGAGUGACCAGCGGGGGUCCUGCGCUAGGGUGGGCUCCUGGGUUCCAACCCCCUGCCCUUCUUCUCGCUCUGUCCCCAGGGUGCUCCCGCUGGUGGCCCGGCAGAGGGCGCCAGCUCCCGAUCGCUGCGCGGGCCGGCGGAGGGGAGGGGACUUGUUCGAGCCUUCAGGCUAGGAAUUUGAUGAUGACUGACGCUGCUUCCUGAACCAGUCC